GCUGACUCUGCGAGCAGAUACCGGAUGUUGCUUUCGUGGUUGAUUUUAUGAUCGCCUGGAUCUGAAAAUUUUCAGGGAAGUGGACGUGAGUGGAUACAGAGUGACUUUCUCCUGAAUUGACCAGUGUCCCAUCAAAUUGCCGUCCACCAGGAACCUCGGAAUGUGACUGUGUUUGGAGAUGGGGCCUUUGCGGACGUCAUCGGGGAAGAUGAGGUCAUGCCGGAUGGGGGUGGGCCUUACUCCGAUGUCUGGCGAACCGAUAAGCAGAGAGAACAGAUACGGGAGACAUACGGGGAGAGCAUCGUGUGAUGACAGAGGCAGAGAUUGGGACGACGCUACCACAGGCCAAGGGACGCCAAGGUUGGCUGGGAGCCACCAGAAGCUGGUAGAAGCAAGGGAAGAUUCUCCCCGAGCCUUCGGAGAGAGCAGGGCUCUGUGAGAGCCUGGAUUGCAGACUGCUGGCCUCCAUAACUGGCCAGCCGAGGGAGAGGGGUGAGGUGAGGAAGGAGGGAGCUGCACCAAGAGGGGCCCGGCCUCGGGAGAGAAGGCAUCCGCCACCCAGCGCGAACCCACAGACCCCAAUUCACGGACGGCGGCAGAAGGAGGCGUGGGGUUCCUGCUCUGUGUGGCCCGCGUGCCCCUCACGCCCCGUGGCUCGUGGCUGUUGGCAUCACGGGAGCCCCUCCCCUGUGACCGCUUCACUUUGAACUCUUCGUUAGUUCCUCGAUAAUUUAAACCACUUCUUUCUACCCCGUUAAAUGGCUGAUGUUUGACAAUUCAAAGUUUAUUUUUUGAAAUAAGGG